rnacentral:rRNA from 1 species
GAUGAACGCUGGCGGCGCGCCUAACACAUGCAAGUCGAACGAUUAAAGCACCUUCGGGUGUGUAUAAAGUGGCGAACGGCUGAGUAACACGUGGGCAACCUGCCCCUUUCAUUGGGAUAGCCACGGGAAACCGUGGAUAAUACCGAAUACUUCGAGACUUCCGCAUGGAAGACUCGAGAAAGCUCCGGCGGAGAGGGAUGGGCCCGCGGCCUGUUAGCUUGUUGGUGGGGUAACGGCCUACCAAGGCAAUGAUGGGUAGCUGGGUUGAGAGACCGACCAGCCAGAUUGGGACUGAGACACGGCCCAGACUCCUAAGGGAGGCAGCAGUGGGGAAUCUUGCACAAUGGGCGAAAGCCUGAUGCAGCGACGCCGCGUGCGGGAUGAAGGCCUUCGGGUUGUAAACCGCUUUCAGCAGGGACGAGGCGAAAGUGACGGUACCUGCAGAAGAAGCCCCGGCUAACUACGUG